CUUGAUGGACCCCAGCCACAGCGGGCGAUCCUGCGACCGUUCUUGACCGUAGGUGGCCAGCAAGGCCUGUGCCUC
rnacentral:antisense_RNA from 1 species